rnacentral:rRNA from 1 species
AUUGAACGCUGGCGGCAGGCCUAACACAUGCAAGUCGAGCGGUAACAGGUCUUUCGGGAUGCUGACGAGCGGCGGACGGGUGAGUAAUGCAUAGGAAUCUGCCCGGUAGUGGGGGAUAACCUGGGGAAACCCAGGCUAAUACCGCAUACGUCCUACGGGAGAAAGGGGGCUCCGGCUCCCGCUAUUGGAUGAGCCUAUGUCGGAUUAGCUAGUUGGUGAGGUAAUGGCUCACCAAGGCAACGAUCCGUAGCUGGUCUGAGAGGAUGAUCAGCCACAUCGGGACUGAGACACGGCCCGAACUCCUACGGGAGGCAGCAGUGGGGAAUAUUGGACAAUGGGCGAAAGCCUGAUCCAGCCAUGCCGCGUGUGUGAAGAAGGCCCUCGGGUUGUAAAGCACUUUCAGCGAGGAAGAACGCCUAGGGGUUAAUACCCCCUAGGAAAGACAUCACUCGCAGAAGAAGCACCGGCUAACUCCGUGCCAGCAGCCGCGGUAAUACGGAGGGUGCAAGCGUUAAUCGGAAUUACUGGGCGUAAAGCGCGCGUAGGUGGCUUGAUAAGCCGGUUGUGAAAGCCCCGGGCUCAACCUGGGAACGGCAUCCGGAACUGUCAAGCUAGAGUGCAGGAGAGGAAGGUAGAAUUCCCGGUGUAGCGGUGAAAUGCGUAGAGAUCGGGAGGAAUACCAGUGGCGAAGGCGGCCUUCUGGACUGACACUGACACUGAGGUGCGAAAGCGUGGGUAGCAAACA